rnacentral:rRNA from 1 species
CAGUCGCCGCGGUAAAACGGAGGGUGCAAGCGUUAAUCGGAAUUACUGGGCGUAAAGCGUGCGUAGGCGGUUCGUUAAGUCUGUUGUGAAAGCCCCGGGCUCAACCUGGGAAUGGCAAUGGAUACUGGCGAGCUAGAGUGUGUCAGAGGAUGGUGGAAUUCCCGGUGUAGCGGUGAAAUGCGUAGAGAUCGGGAGGAACAUCAGUGGCGAAGGCGACCAUCUGGGACAACACUGACGCUGAGGCACGAAAGCGUGGGGAGCAAACAGGAUUAGAUACCCGCGUAGUCCCUGUCUCUUAUAC